CGCGGGGUGGAGCAGCCCGGUAGCUCGUCAGGCUCAUAACCUGAAGGUCGUAGGUUCAAAUCCUGCCCCCGCAACCA
rnacentral:tRNA from 65 species